GACGAACCGUCCGAACGUUAUUCGGAAUCACUGGGCUUAAAGGGUGCGUAGGCGGCGCGGAAAGUUGGGUGUGAAAUCCCUCGCUUAACCGAGGAACGGCGCCCAAAACUACCGUGCUCGAGGGAGAUAGAGGUGAGCGGAACUUAGGGUGGAGCGGUGAAAUGCGUUGAUAUCCUAAAGAACACCGGUGGCGAAAGCGGCUCACUGGAUCUCUUCUGACGCUGAUGCACGAAAGCUAGGGUAGCGAACGGG
rnacentral:rRNA from 1 species